ensembl:lncRNA LINC02165 long intergenic non-protein coding RNA 2165
AGAUGAUCCUGGAUCAUGGAGCCAUGAAGAUGUUGAUAGUUGGAUAUCAGGAACAGAUGAUGUCAAUCACUAAUGGAUCACAGUUGACCAGGGGAAACUAAAAUCAUGGGAAACAAAACCAUGGAUAAGGCAGUACUACUGUAUACAGUUGGCCCUCCAUAGCCAUGCACUCUGCAUCAGUGGAUUCAAUCAGCCAUGGAUAAAAAAAUGUUUGAAAAGUUUAAAAGAAUGGUUGUUUCUGUACUGAACAGGUUAGGUGUUCAAGCUGUGUUAAAUCACAUCCCUGAUGUUUAUGUGGUCAGGAUAUGUGCCCUUGAGUGACCAAGCAGAAGUUGGGAUAGAUAUGUUCCCUGCUUAACUGUUAUGAUUGCAUUACUCUGCCCUCAGGAUGAAAAAGGGUUAUUGAAACCUAGGGGACUUUGAGUGUGUCAGUAGCACAUAGACAAUCUUACCCAUGAGUUUCUAGCUGUUUUGUACUGUAAGAAACUGACAUAUUCACAAACUGAUGGGAUUAAAUGGAGCAUCAAGUGACCUACAUUUGGCAAGAAGCCAUGUUGUAUAGGGACAGGAGCUUUGGCACAAGCGUGACAAUAAAUUCUCUGUAUUUUUGAAUUG